rnacentral:pre_miRNA from 1 species
AGUGGGAUAACUGGGUCAAAUGGUGGUUCCAUUCCAAGUUUUCUGAGGAAUCUCCAUUCUGCUUUCCAGAGCAGUUGCACCAUUUGCAGUCCCACCAGCAAU